rnacentral:rRNA from 1 species
CCUACGGGAGGCAGCAGUGGGGAAUAUUGGACAAUGGGCGAAAGCCUGAUCCAGCCAUGCCGCGUGUGUGAAGAAGGCCUUCGGGUUGUAAAGCACUUUCAGUGGGGAAGAAAGCCUUGGGGCUAAUACCCUCGAGGAAGGACAUCACCCACAGAAGAAGCACCGGCUAACUCCGUGCCAGCAGCCGCGGUAAUACGGAGGGUGCGAGCGUUAAUCGGAAUUACUGGGCGUAAAGCGCGCGUAGGCGGUCUGAUAAGCCGGUUGUGAAAACCCCGGGCUCAACCUGGGAACGGCAUCCGGAACUGUCAGGCUAGAGUGCAGGAGAGGAAGGUAGAAUUCCCGGUGUAGCGGUGAAAUGCGUAGAGAUCUGGAGGAAUACCAGUGGCGAAGGCGGCCUUCUGGACUGACACUGACGCUGAGGUGCGAAAGCGUGGGUAGCAAACAGGAUUAGAUACCCGAGUAGUC